rnacentral:rRNA from 1 species
AUUGAACGCUGGCGGCAUGCCUUACACAUGCAAGUCGAACGGUAACGGGCCUUCGGGUGCCGACGAGUGGCGAACGGGUGAGUAAUACAUCGGAACGUGCCCGAUCGUGGGGGAUAACGAGGCGAAAGCUUUGCUAAUACCGCAUACGAUCUACGGAUGAAAGCAGGGGACCGCAAGGCCUUGCGCGGGCGGAGCGGCCGAUGGCAGAUUAGGUAGUUGGUGGGAUAAAAGCUUACCAAGCCGACGAUCUGUAGCUGGUCUGAGAGGAUGAUCAGCCACACUGGGACGGAGACACGGCCCAGACUCCUACGGGAGGCAGCAGUGGGGAAUUUUGGACAAUGGGCGCAAGCCUGAUCCAGCCAUGCCGCGUGCAGGAUGAAGGCCUUCGGGUUGUAAACUGCUUUUGUACGGAACGAAAAGCCUUCUUUUAAUACAGGAGGGUCAUGACGGUACCGUAAGAAUAAGCACCGGCUAACUACGUG